CCUGAUUUUUCGUGUCUUUUUCCUUCGCGACAGAGCGGGGUGAUGAUGUAAAAUACAUUUUCCCAUCGUUAAAGGACGUUACAUUUGUCUGCGACAGACCCUGGCGUGAAAAGACAGCUCACCCUUUCGUUUUCAAGGAUAAAGGGUCCGGUUAGCCCUGACCAUUAUCUGUUUCCAAUUCACCAUCGCAUGCCUGCUCCAUCGAAGCUCCGGAUAUUUUCACUCCAGGGAAAGAUCCGCCUUCGGCCUUGUGGGUCCUGGGUCAUGCUCCAGCAGUCGCCCAAGAACCUUGCGCACCAGAGACACAUGCUCGACGCGUGUAGCGGAGUAGAUCAAGAUGUCGUCAAUAUACACUACUACACCCUGUCCGUGUCUGAGAAUCUCAUCAACGAAGGAUUGAAAGAUGGCUGGAGCAUUCUUUAACCCGUACGGCAUGAUGAGUUACUCAAAAUGGCCAGAUGUGGCACUAAACGCGGUUUCCCCUCAUCUCUCUCCAGAAUAUGCAUCAGAUUAUACGCGCUGAACCACCAGUUGCGAAGUGAAGUUUGUUCCUUGGUCCAUCAGGAUUUCCUCUUUGAUUCCUACACGAGAGAAGAGCUGAACAAGAGCACUGAUUAUUUUUGGAGUGGUUAUGGAACGAAGUAGGAAGGCUUCUGGGAACCAGGUGACAUAGUCACAGAUAUAAUAAUUUUGCACGCCCAAUUUUUCAGUUUUGAUUUGUUAAAAAAGUUUGAAAUAUCCAAUAAAAUGUCGUUCCACUU